CUUGAGUUUAUAGUUUAGAGAGUGAGAUAGAGUUUUUGAAUGUGAAAUUUAGGAUUAUAAUAAAUAUAUAAAUAAAUAUUUAAAACAGUAAAAAAAUAAAAAAAAUAGUUUAAAACAUAAUUUUCGAUUUUCAAAAAGAAAUAAAAUAAAAAUAAUAAUAAAAAUUUUGAAUUUGAAAAAAUAUAAUUUGAAAACAUUAAUAAAACUAAAAUAUUAUAAUAUAUAUUUCAAAUCAUGAUUUUGUGUU
rnacentral:lncRNA from 1 species